CACACACACACACACUCAGUAGACAAACUCAUCAGGUGAUAGAACUUUUCCUUCGAUGUGUCCUUGAGUGUUCCCACUCCAUUUGAUGUGAUUGUUCUCCAGUCUGCAGUGCUGCUGUCCUCCUAGGAGCUUCUGUCACCAUUGUCACCUCCCAAAAUUCCUGAAUGAAUACCCAGAUGGAUUUAAAGUAGAGUCUGAGGAUCAAAUGAGACAAGGAAUUAUAACAAGAGCUACUGACCCCUUGUGUAUCCUUUGCACCCAGCUGUUUGAUUCUGCACAUGCUCUGGCAGUGCCAUCACAGUGCUGUGGUUUCUCCCUCAGAAUCAUUCCCCAGUGAUUCUCAUAGAGGUGAUCGAGGGACAAGUAGGUGCUGAGGAAGGAGAGGCAACAAAAUGUCAUAAACAAGGAAGUUCCAGAGGCUGGAUUCUGGUACUCACCAUUUCUUCUAAGAACAAGAAGAGCACACUGGACCCAAAGUAAGCAGAUGAAAAUCUCAGAACCUGGGAUGAUGCUGAAAUGGCCUUCUAGACAACAAGGAAUGAGAAGGACCACAUGAUAAAGGAACCAAUCAAACAAGAUGAACCACUGCUCAAGAAAGGAAAUCACAGUUAAGUGAGGUUUCAGGAAGAAAAGGACAGUUCAAGGAGUCAUGAAAGCUUCAUUCUGGUGUUGGUUCUGCCAAUAACUAAUUAUGUGACUCACAGUGCUCUUUUCUGGGACUCUGUUCCUUUCUCUGAAAAAUAAAAGAAGUUUGACCAGA